UCCCGGCCCCUGGAGCAGCCUCAGGGAACCAGCCUCAAGAUCGUCAAGUGAUGCUGGGACCGUCCGCGUGGCCUUCACACCUGAACCGGGUGAAGACCGCUGGAGAACUUCUGGCCGGCAGGUGCGGAGGUCUACUCGUUUCUGGCCGCGAAGACACGUCUCCUAGGGAUUCUUCAGCCAUGCUCUUGGAUCUGCCAGAUGUUCCCAAGUCCAGGAGCUUUUGGUUAUAUGAAGAUUGUGGGCUGCGGCAGAGGUUUUCCAUACCAUCACGGUUGUGGUGGAAAAGAAUGGAAAAGAUCCAGGAUCGAAAGUGUUCCUCACUACAACUUAGAACAACCUUUCAGUACCUUCAGCUCUCAGUUCUUCUGGAGUUUUGUUGUGCUAAUCGUCUUCUUGUUGGUUUCCCCUCCAACAGGCACCUAGUUUUUAACCUUCUCCUCUCUGCUAAGUCAGUUGAUACUUGUUUUAUUUUCAUGCUUCCAACAAACGAUUGACCUCUCUUAGGUUACUGUCAGAACUCUUCUUGGU
ensembl:lncRNA